UUGAUUUGAAAUGGAUUUGAAGUUUUACCUUUAUUUGUUUAUUUUAAUUCAAGUAUUAUUUUUAAUUCAAAAAAUACCAAAAAUAUUUUAUUUGUUUCUUACUUCUAAGCUUCAUCUUACUUCUGUUUACCAUUGAUUGACUUUGAUUCCAUUCAUGAUUGAUCAAUGUGUGUUGGUUAUGUUAUUUGAAUUCCAUUUAUGUACAUUUCCAUUUCUUC
rnacentral:lncRNA from 1 species